AACGAACGCUGGCGGCAUGCCUAACACAUGCAAGUCGAACGGGAUCCAGGCUUCGGCCUGGUGAGAGUGGCGGACGGGUGAGUAACGCGUGGGAACCUGCCCAAUGGUCUGGGAUAACCGCGGGAAACUGCGGCUAAUACCGGAUAAGCCCGAGAGGGAAGAUUAUCGCCGAUGGAGGGCCGCGUCAGAUUAGGUAGUUGGUGGGUAAGUGGCCUACCAACGCCUACGAUCUGUAGCUGGUCUGAGAGGAUGAUCAGCCACACUGGACUGAGAUACGG
rnacentral:rRNA from 1 species